rnacentral:rRNA from 1 species
UACGUAGGGUGCAGGCGUUAAUCGGAAUUACUGGGCGUAAAGCGUGCGCAGGCGGUUUGCUAAGACAGGUGUGAAAUCCCCGGGCUAACCUGGGAACUGCGCUUGUUACUGGCAAGCUGGAGUGUGGCAGAGGGGGGGUGGAAUUCCACGUGUAGCAGUGAAAUGCGUAGAGAUGUGGAGGAACACCGAUGGCGAAGGCAGCCCCCCUGGGCUAACACUGACGCUCAUGCACGAAAGCGUGGGGAGCAAACAGG